CAAAAGUUGAGGGGGUUGAGGGCUUUCUUUCUCAAAUUUCAAAACUUUAUACAUUUUUUUUAUAGGAGGAAAUCAGUUAAAGCUGUUAUAAAGUGUUUCUUAAGGUUAUUCAUGAAAGGGACAAAACGUAUUGUCCUUGAACGCACCACAAAUCCCGCUGCCAUCCAUACAGCCAAGGAGAAGACGCCUACCAAUAAGCUACAAAUUUAAUGGUGGUCUGUAUCCAUGCCAUCAUCUUGGAUGGUGAGAUUGUUUCUGCUCGCAACACUCGCAUGCCUCAGAGAGUUUUCCUCCUGCUAAUCAAACAGCUUAAAGGGGGAGCAAGUGGAAAUGGACCUAAAAAUAACAGGACAAAUAUGUGUGGAGUUCUGUGUGCACACAGAUAACAACUCAGGCGAUGGCAGCAGAGAUCAGUGCUGUCAGCGCGUAUCAAAUUCCAAAAUCUGCAUCUUGCCUAGUGAAAGAGGAUUUGGGAAAGUAAAUGAGUCCAUCAUUACAACAUGCUGCAGUGACCUGUAACAGAGGCAUCUGACACCUGUGAGACCUGUUUCAGAUUGACUUCAUAUACUAUUACAGAGGAUGUUUGCUCCCUGCACUGUUGUCAUCAUAUUUACAGAUAACCAAUGAAUGAGCCCUAAUGUCCACAGAGGGAGCUGGAGUCAACCAUGUUGCACCACCAUGUUUCUACAGAAGCCCAGAGUGGACAAACUGAACAUCAGCUCAUAGAGGGCUUUUAUUUCUGCAUUUUACUGACUGAAGCAGAGGGUCCUGGAGCAAACCUGAGGGAAGGAGGCGUAUUCAUACAUCAGCACGAGACCAAGCAAGCGUCAGGUUUCAAAUCAACAAGUUCUGGAAGGUUUCCCGUUGGCUUCAGCUCAACUAUCCAGACAUAAAUCUGAUAACUGAACACAUCAUCUAUAAUCAAACAGAAAUGAUGUAAAGUGCUGCAGGCUCGAUGAAACAAAUCACACACUGAAACGCUGACCAAAGGAAGACUAUAAUGCCGAAUCAAAACAAGAGGAUUCCAGUGGAAGCUUUAACGUCUACACACAGACUCGCUUCCUUCCCAUGGUGACACUGGCACACUGGUGGUUUAAAACCCUGGAGGAUCUUUCGCCUGACUGUGGCUCCGGUAGAGGACACCAUUACAGUUGGAGGACAAUGGAGGAGGUGGUAAACAGGAGGUUGAGAAGGAGAAGAAAGAGAGGGACAGAUGGGAGGAGGACACAUGAGACCGAGACAAAGGCUUCAACAGAUCGACUACUGUUGGACCCGUUCCCUGAAAAUGACAAUAAAUCAUCGUGAUUCAUAAAAGUCCACAUGUGUAAAAUCAACCAUGCAAGGAUGCUGAGGAAUCGCUCAUGAUUUCCUCCAUGUUAUAUAUCUCUGCAUGAGAGCCCAUCCCCCUUUCGUGCCUGCAGUGAGAGCAGGCAGGCUGGUAAAGUUGGGGGCAGGGCGACUCUCUUUCUUUGAUUCUCUGGAGCCUGCUGACAGCUGCUCGCUGAGGCCCGGGGCUGCUGCCUACUGCUGGGCCAGAACCACAGCCACAUCCUGGAAGAAUCAGCGAGGAUCUCAUGCACUCAUUCACGGCCGAGAAAACGACCACAGACCGGACUAACCUGAAAUAAAAAGACAGCCUUGACAAAGAAGUCCCAAUGUUUACUCAAUCUGUCCACUUGUGUUAAUAUUUGAGGAAUCCCUGUGUGGCAGCGCGGUGUGGCAGAGACACAUGACUCACAAGCGCACACCGUUUAACAGUUUAAAGUCCAUCACGACCGGCGGCUGCUUCCUGUUGGGGUCCAAACUGUGAUUACCGGGGUCACGUGGCUUGACCCUCUGGCUGUCAUGUAAAUUGUCAAGUUGAGCCGCACCCAGAUCCUUCAGAAAUGUUUUCUAGUCUCUUCCUGGAACCGCGCAAGGGCGAGUUUGGGAAGGCUGCAUAUUUGGCAAUUGUAGGAGAAAAUAAAUUGGAAAAUUGCAUCAUGUUGAGGAACACGCACAGCUGAAAUGUCCUCAAUCAGAACUGGAAUCACUUUUAUGGCUAACAAGGACACACACACACGGACAUUUUACAGUGCAAGUUCAAUUCUAUUUUUCACCUUCAAGCCAUAAUAUUUUAAUAAAUCAGAAAAAAUGACCUACGUAUAAAACAUUUAUUAUCCCUAUUACAUUAUAAAAGCAUCGAGCUAGAGGGGGUAGGCUGGCCACCAGUGAAUGUAAAUGAGAGACUCAAGUAAUCAAACCCCCGAAUGAUUAACUCGGAUCAAUAAAACGACCCAAUUUAAAAAGCUUGGCCAGCGAACUUGGGCUGUCAAUACAGAUGACAGCAGUGAGAAAUGACUCUGAGGCAUCAAGGACAAAGGAGGAGGCAGCUCUCCGGUGCUACAGCUCUGGAGACGCGCCAAGGCCUGUUUUUGAAGCCACCAUGCCAUUUGCCUAGCAACUCCAGGGACAGGUGGAACACGUCAAGUAAACACAGACAUGCCGGGCUGCGUGGCUUUCAUUUUCCUCUUGACAGUGAAGCUUAGAGGAGCACAUUUUCACACAGUAAGAGGAUAAGUGUUCACUGCGGUGAAUACAGCGGCAACUGCAUCCUCUGUUUCUGUUUCUAACAAGUCCGAGUGAAGAUACUGUAUACUUUACUAUAUUGUGCAAAACAAUUGUUUCUGCAGGCCCCCCUGUCAAUGGAAACCUAUUUCUGCCGAGAACAACAAAAAAAUUGUCAGCGUAUGUUUCUGCAAAGCACAGAUGUGAUGAAAUUGUACAUUUGUAUAUGUUGCAACUUUUUUACGCUUCUUCAGGUUCAUUUUUAUCUUUUGACAACGGUUUGUUUAUGCUCUGGUUAGGUUUAAGCACAGAAAUCACUCUAAAUAUAGUCUUUGGCUUAAAAUACCUGUUUUGGUCACAAAUAAACACAAGUGUCACCAAAAAUACAGCAAAAAAUUGUCCCGAGGACUCAUUUAAACUCCUGAAUGGUGUCACAAUUACAAAUGUUGAAACGCAGUGCUGAACUGCGGUCACUGGCUUGGCAGCCUUUUCGCCUGUAACCUCCCCUCCAGCUCCUGAUGUGAAUAAAUAAGUAAUGUGAACAUGACAUCAAACGUAUAGAAAUGUAAGUACAAAUUUGAAUGA